rnacentral:rRNA from 1 species
AGUCUGGUGCCAGCAGCCGCGGUAAUUCCAGCUCUCAAAAUGCAUAGAAUCAUUGCUGCGGUUAAAAAGCUCGUAGUUGGAUCUGUGCUGGCGGGUCGGUCCACCUUCGGGUGCGCACUGAUUUCGCCGGCUUUCCUGCUGUAUUUGGCCCUGUGCCUUUCAACGGGUGCAGUGUCCAGUGCAGCAAGUUUACCUUGAACAAAUCAGAGUGCUUCAAACAGGCGUUUCGCUUGAAUGUUCGUGCAUGGAAUAAUAGAAGAGGAUUUCGGUUCUAUUUUAUUGGUUUUAUAGACUGAGAUAAUGGUUAACAGAGACUAACGGGGGCAUUAGUAUUGCUACGUGAGAGGUGAAAUUCUUGGACCGUAGCAAGACUGACUACAGCGAAAGCAUUUGCCAAGAAAGUCUUCAUUAAUCAAGAACGAAAGUCAGAGGUUCGAAGGCGAUCAGAUACCGCCCUAGUUCUGACCGUAAACGAUGCCAACUAGUGAUCCGCCGGUGGAACAUUCGCCCUGGUGGGGAACUUCCCGGAAACGAAAGUCUUCCGGUUCCGGGGGAAGUAUGGUUGCAAAGCUGAAACUUAAAGGAAUUGACGGAAGGGCACCACCAGGAGUGGAGCCUGCGGCUUAAUUUGACUCAACACGGGAAAACUCACCCGGCCCGGACACCGUAAGGAUUGACAGAUUGAUAGCUCUUUCAUGAUUCGGUGGAUGGUGGUGCAUGGCCGUUCUUAGUUCGUGGAGCGAUUUGUCUGGUUUAUUCCGAUAACGAGCGAGACUCUGGCCUACUAAAUAGUUUACACAUUGCUUCUGUGUGCAUAACUUCUUAGAGGGAUUUUCGGUGUUCAGCCGCAAGAAAUUGAGCAAUAACAGGUCUGUGAUGCCCUUAGAUGUCCGGGGCUGCACGCGCGCUACACUGGCAAAAUCAGCGUGCUUGUCCUUCCCCGAAAGGGGUUGGUAAACUCGUGAAAAUUUGCCGUGAUUGGGAUCGGAAAUUGCAAUUAUUUUCCGUGAACGAGGAAUUCCAAGUAAGUGCGAGUCAUCAACUCGCGUUGAUUACGUCCCUGCCCUUUGUACACACCGCCCGUCGCUGCCCGGGACUGAGCCGUUUCGAGAAACUUGGAGACCGCUGAUCUGGUAACUUCGAUUGCCAUUUUGGUGGGAACCAAUUUAA